AAGAAACCUAGAAUCAAGGUUGCAAUUCUGAACACACUUGUUAGGGAGGAAGCUUCAAUUAAUACAGUGGGACUUAGGUAGAGGUAAAGGGACCCCUGACCAUUAGGUCCAGUCAUGGCCGACUCUGGGGUUGCGGCACUCAUCUCGCUUUAUUGGCCGAGGGAGCCGGCGUACAGCUUCCGAGUCAUGUGGCCAGCAUGACUAAGCUGCUUCUGGCGAACCAGAGAAGCAUGGAAACGCCGUUUACCUGUUGGGAUUGGAACUUAACAGGUUAAGUUUUUCCCAUGGUGCCACACCAUUCUGACGUCAGUUUUCGAAGUUGGGAGGAGUUUGGGAGGAGUUAGUCAGUCCCACUCUGUGUUCCGUGGGGAAAAGACGCAGGUCUGGCAUGGCUGCAAAUAGUCCUGGUAAUUCCUGAGAAAUGUUGGAAUAAAAGCUGUAAAUAGACAAACUGGACUCUGUGUGUUUGUCUGGAAGCUGAACCAAGCAACGUGACAGUUCUACACCGCUGUGCGGAAACUCUGCUGAGCCGUGACGGAGAGGCGCUGCGGAAGUGUGCCGGGCGGCCAUAUAUCGCUAAUCGAGGUUCGUAAAUCAAUUAGCGGGAGUCACGGCUAACUACCAAAUGUCACAGGUUAUGGAUCCAUAAAUCAUCGCUUGUAAAACUGUCACGGAAGAUACUGCCGGGAGCUUUGAAGUCUGCGGUGUCGAGCAGGGGGCCGGCAGGAGGCGGAAGGACUUUUUGCCUGAUGUUUGCCUGCGUCUAAGAGGCAAAGAAGCUGCUGAGAGAGCUGCUGGAACACAGAGCUAAAAGCAAGAAGCAGCUGGGAGCUGGAAAGCAGCUGAGAAGUCGUUUCUCCGGACGGGUGCUGGAUGAGCUGGUGAUCUUGUGAGUACAGCUUGGGGCCCCUUGGGAGAACGGGAGAAGAUGGCAGACUGCCAGGAUAUACCAGUGGAAAAGCUCACUCUAAAGAGUUGGGCAACGUGGUCCAGGAGAAUAAGGGGAUGGUUCUUGGUUGAAGGGCUCUGGGAAGCAAACCAGUGGGAGCCAAAAGAAACACCCCUUAGCCGGCCAGCAGCUGGAGCAGGUGAAGCAAGCUGUGGGGCUGUGUUGGCUGAAGAUAGCCAGAGGCUGCAACAAGAGCUGAAUAUGCUCAAAGCAUGCGUUGAUGCGUCACUGGGGCCUCAGUUGGAGGGCGUAACGACAGCGUGGGCUGCCUGGAAUUUGCUGAAAGGCUUGUGUGAGGCGUCAGCGAAAGGCCAGAGCCCUGGAGGAAGCCCUGGAGAGGCAGAAGGAUGCCCAGAAAGCCCAAUGGGGGCUGGGACAGUGUUGGGAAGCUGUUGUAAUGCUUCUACACGUCUGUGUGAUGGACUGAGUCCUGGAAAGGCUGGACUGGCAGGCCCUGUUCCCGAUGUAUUGGCCUCUAGGAGCGCUAGUGAGCAGAUCGGGGGGGCGAAGAGUUCCAAAGGCAAGUUUAAAGGACUUUCCCUUUGUGCUGAAGCGGAGAGCAGCUUCAGGGGGGGCGAGGCUGGUGGGAGGCGCCGUUCCAGAAGGAGGAAGGCCAAGCCAGCUGGGAGCCCCGGGCAGUGUUUUUCCACUGGAGUUCGUCACACGGCGCAACAUCUGAGUGGCAAGUGCCCCCACCGGUGCAGAGAGCCGAGGCAGGAUGUUGUGAAGGACAUUUCCCAUGGGAAUCAGGCGGGUUUCCAUGGCAACAGGCCUGGGAAGGCAGGCAGGCGUGGAACAGAACCAGGUGGCCGUGGUAAACAACGGGAAGAGUCUUAUCAAGUCUCGGCGAGUAUGGCAGUGUUUGAAGACGGCCGAGUGGAAAAUUCCGAGAUGGCCUUUGUAAUAGACUCUGCAGCUAACCGCAACAUGGUUCCAGAGACCCCUGCAGUCGAGAGGUGGAAUUGCACGGCAGUUCCGAAGGGACAGACUAUUAAGUUUGCAAAUGGACAGAAAACUAGAGUUUCCACGUGUACUAAUGCCUAUCUUUCUGUUUUACAGGAGACGGUGAAUUUAUGUAUUGUUCCAGAGAUUCAACAUUGUUUGUUAUCUGUGCCUUAUUUGUUAAGUAAGGGGUUCAAAGUUUGUUUUGAAAACGAUGUCUGCACGAUCUCCAAAGGGGGGAGGUUACUGGCCAAAGUGCGGAAGGGACAGAAUGAUCUUUUCAUUCUUAAAACGUCUCUUGGAGGUGAGGGGAAGGUUGAGAAAGCACAAGCGUUGCGUGCUACAGUUCCCAACCAGCGUGCUACAAUUCCCGCUCAUAAUGUUACAUGUGCAUGCGUAUGGCAUCAGAGAACGAUUCACAAUCCUUUAGAGGAUUUGCAGGUGUUACCUGAGGUUGUUACAGGUUGUAAGAUUAAAAAUUGUCAAAGUGCCAUUAAUUGUGAAACCUGCAGGCUAGCAAAGGUAAAAGGAUGCAGUUACCCAAAGGUGGAACGUGUAGCCACUAAACCUUUUGAGCUGGUGCACAUAGAUUUGUCCGGUCCUGUCAAGGCACCAAGUCUAGGGGGGGCCAGGUUUCUGCUCGUUUUUCUGGAUGAUUUCUCGCAGAAUUCCUGGGCUCACGGUCUUAAAUCCAGGGAGGAUGCAGCACGGCUGAUCAAGAGCUGGAUUGAAGGGGUGGAACAGAGGUUCUCCACCAGGGUUCAAGCUAUCAUCAGUGACAGAAAUGCUAAGUACACUGGUUCUGCUUUGCAGGAGUUCUUUCACAAGAAAGGGAUACGACACACAGUUAUUUCACCCCAGCAAGGUGGGGUGGCAGAGCUGCGAAGUGGAGCUCUAGUUCAGGCUGCACAGGUGUUGCUGAAAGACUCUGAGUUACCUCCAAGGUUUUGGCUGGAGGCAAUCAAGUAUGUGAGCUUCACCUGGAAUCGUGUCUAUAACUCAUUGGUAGGUGAAACACCGUUUUCUUUGUUAAAUGGCAGAAAACCCCAGGUUCACUUUCUGCGGACGUUUGGGACCCCUGCGCUUGUCUCUGUGCCUGAGGCUUUGCGAGGGCCAGAUGGAGCCAAAGUCCAGAAAAUGAUCUUCUGUGGGUAUGAGCCAGAAGCCCGUGCAUGGAGGUUCGCAUUUCCAUCAGGUGAUCAGAGUAAGUUACUGAUCAGUAAACACGCUGAGUUCUUUGAGCAGAGUGAGAAGCCAAAGAUUGUUUUCCAGCGUGAUCUUCUCUCAGAUUGUCUCUCUGACCCAGAGGACAGUUGUGAUGAGGAGGAAGGAGAGGCUGAGCCUGCUGAUGAGGACCAGGUCCAGGAUCAGGGUUCAGAACCCGAUGAUGAUGAUCAGUUCACUGACCAAAGUCAGGAGCAAAGUCAGGAACAGGAGGAGGUAUCUGUAGUUUCUCCACAAGAUGUUAAGAGAGCACCCAAAAGCGAGCCUAGUUCUCCUGUGAGUGUGAUGGAAAGGAUUCGAAAACGCUUUAAGUCAGAAGGGGAAUCCCGUGAUGCAGAGGUCACACCUGCUGGUGACGGUGAGCCAGAGGAAACAUCUGUGUUUGUGCCUAGGAGGUCCAGUCGCACAACAAAGGGUAUUCCGCCAGAGAGGUAUCAGGCCACAGGUGCGUGGGUAAAUUUCGCACAGUGCGUUUCUGAGGAUUGUGAGGUGGUUCCACAAAUGCCAAACAGGUCUGCCAAGGGAGGGCGCGAGGCAUUGGGGGUGGGAUUGAUCUCACAAAGUGUUACUGAAGGGGUUCAACAGGUGCCUGGGAAAAAUGCCGGAAAGGGGCACAAGGCAAAGGGAAAGGUGUUGAACUCAGAAGAGUCUUGUCAGAAUGGGCGGCAAAGGGGGGUGUUGGGAUUGGAACUUAACAGGUUAAGUUUUUCCCAUGGUGCCACACCAUUCUGACGUCAGUUUUCGAAGUUGGGAGGAGUUUGGGAGGAGUUAGUCAGUCCCACUCUGUGUUCCGUGGGGAAAAGACGCAGGUCUGGCAUGGCUGCAAAUAGUCCUGGUAAUUCCUGAGAAAUGUUGGAAUAAAAGCUGUAAAUAGACAAACUGGACUCUGUGUGUUUGUCUGGAAGCUGAACCAAGCAACGUGACAGUUCUACACCGCUGUGCGGAAACUCUGCUGAGCCGUGACGGAGAGGCGCUGCGGAAGUGUGCCGGGCGGCCAUAUAUCGCUAAUCGAGGUUCGUAAAUCAAUUAGCGGGAGUCACGGCUAACUACCAAAUGUCACAUUACCUUCCCGCUGGAGCGGUAUCUAUUUAUCUACUUGCACUUUGACGUGCUUUCGAACUGCUAGGUUG
ensembl:lncRNA